AACGUAGGUGGCGAGCGUUAUCCGGAUUUACUGGGCGUAAAGGGUGUGCAGGCGGGCUGUUAAGUGGUGUAUGAAAUAUCCCGGCUCAACCGGGAGAGGUUAUGCCAGACUGGCAGUCUAGAGAGCGAGAGAGGGACGUGGAAUUCCCGGUGUAGUGGUGAAAUGCGUAGAUAUCGGGAGGAACACCAGUGGCGAAGGCGACUACCUGGCCUGUUCUUGACGCUGAGGCGCGAAAGCUAGGGGAGCAACGGG
rnacentral:rRNA from 1 species